CUCCUGAUAGCUCAGUUGGUAGAGCGAUGGACUGUAAUUGAAAUUCCUUGGAGAUCCACAGGUCGCGUGUUCGACUCACGCUCGGGAGA
rnacentral:tRNA from 1 species